GAGGCUCUAGGACAGGGAAGGACUGAGCUUGGCCCCAGGGCUCCCAGGUGCCCACGCCAUGCCCGUCCCUGGGAAAAAGGGCUCUCCCAAGGGCCGGAGGAGAAGAUGAACUCCACUGAAGCUUGGAAGGGGAACCUCUCAUCUGUGAGGAGUGGACAGUGAAAAGCCAGGUCCCCCGCCUGCCUGCCCGCUCCUGGGAUCUAGCCCUCAUGCCACUUGUCUCCGACUCACCCGUCCAGGCCUCAUCCAGCUGGUCUUUGGGAAAGGUUUAUUGCCUUCUACUUCCCUGGAAUGUAAGGUCCGUAAAAGCAAGAAUCUUGUUUGUUCUGAAUGCUCAGCACUUGGCACGGUGCCUGGCACAUCCAAGGUGCCCCAUUGAAGUGUGCUAUGUGAAUGAGAAAAACUUGACCUUGGUAGCCAUGGAGAGACUACUCCUCCGGCCUAUCCCCACCCAGGUUGCUCACCGGCGCUGGGAGGGCUGCAGCUCUGCGGCCACCUUGUCCUCGCAGAACUUCCGCAUGAAGAAGAGAAGAAACACAGACACACAGAAAGAAGGUCACGUGAUGACGGAGGCAGAGAUUGGAGUGAUGUAGCUACAAGCCAAGGAACACUAAGGAUUGCUGGCCACCACCAGGAGCUAGAAGGAGGCAAGGAAGGAUUCUGCCCAGAGUCUCAGAGGGAGUGAGGUCCUGCUGACACCUCAGUUUUAAAUUUCUAGCCUCCAGA